GUUCUGUGUCACCAAGGAGAGCUUCAAUAUCGUGAGCGAAACGUUGCCGUCGCCUCACGUGGUGCGCUCCGAUUGCAGGAGGAACCCUCAGCACUCAGACUCCCCAUGCAUCGAGGGGGGGGGCAGAAGUUCUUUAUUUUUCAUUUCUCUUUUUCCACCCUGUAGCAAAAAUGCUAAGUCAUGGCCUGAACCAGUAACGGAGCACCUGGUGGGAAGGCAGGGCCAGCCCAGGGGAGCUCAGCUGCAUGCAAUGCACCUGAGUGAGAGGAAGGGCAGGAGCCAGGAUCCACCCCUGCCCAGACCUCAUUUAAGGGUUGGCAGUGGAGGUAAGGGGAUCUUGUUGAAGAUCCCUUCCUACCUGAGGUCUUCUAAAGGGAUGCUCUGAAGAAGGCUGCUUGGUGAUCAGCUGAGCCAUGAGUUCUGGAGGUGCCUGCCCAGCACAAAGCAACAAUGCCAGCCCUGGGCAGCGCAGCCACAGGCUGCCUGCAGGACACCAGCUCCUUGUUCAGCAUCGCUCUGCUUUACCCUCCUCCAAAUUACCGCUCCUGACGGGCAGCACUCGGGAAAAUCCUCAAAAUCUCAGCAUGGAGAAGAUCAGUGCUCUCUGGGUCCUUGACUUUAAUUUCCAGCAGAUAGCCUUUGCCAAACUUGUUCUUCAGGUACUGAAUGGAGCCGAUGCACCUGCAGCCGGGGAAACUCACAUUAUAGGAGGUGAUUUGAGGAGAAAGGCAGUAAGGAUCUGGGGACCAGGAGAUGUGCCACCAUUGGCUGCACCCACAUGUUUUCUUCGUGCCUGCUACAAUGAGCUGCUAAAGUCCUGCUGAGCUCCUGCAUGAUUUUAUGGGUAUAUUCUCCAAAACACUGCCACUCUAGACAUGGCUUCCGCCUCAGCUAGCCCUCCUCUUGCUGAAAGAAUUACCCAAAUCCCCCGCUAGCAAACCACUGAACACUAGAACAGAACGUACCAGCAAGAAGAAGCUGUCAGCGGUCCCAGAUACCUUGUUGCUCAUUGCAAACUGAACCCCGAACAUGGAGAAGAGAAGGAGCCAGCAGAGUGGGACGUCAACCAGUGCCUGCCCACACCAGUACGCCGAGGGGAAGAGCCCCGAGACCCGCAGCUGGGCACAAGCUCCUGUCUGGGAAGGAAUGUGCUGGCCACUGGAACAGCUCCAGGAAGUGAAAAGCUAAUAAAUCUCAUAAAAAGCUG